UACGUACUCCCUCCGUCCUAAAAUUCUUGUCUUAGAUUUGUUUAAAUACAGAUGUACACGUCACGUUUUAAUAUCAUAUAUAUCUGUAUCUAGACAAAUCUAAGACAUGAAUUUUGGAACGGAGAGAAUAGUAA
rfam:Triticum aestivum genome assembly, contig: Triticum_aestivum_CS42_TGACv1_scaffold_249168_3DL